rnacentral:rRNA from 1 species
GUAGGUGGCAAGCGUUGUCCGGAAUUAUUGGGCGUAAAGCGCGCGCAGGUGGUUCUUUAAGUCUGAUGUGAAAGCCCCCGGCUCAACCGGGGAGGGUCAUUGGAAACUGGGGAACUUGAGUGCAGGAGAGGAAAGUGGAAUUCCACGUGUAGCGGUGAAAUGCGUAGAUAUGUGGAGGAACACCAGUGGCGAAGGCGACUUUCUGGCCUGUAACUGACACUGAGGCGCGAAAGCGUGGAGAGCAAACAGGGAUUAGAUACCCUGGUAGUCCACGCCGUAAACGAUGAGUGCUAAGUGUUGGGGGGGUUUCCGCCCCCUCAGUGCUGCAGCUAACGCAUUAAGCACUCCGCCUGGGAGUACGGUCGCAAGACUG